rnacentral:sRNA from 1 species
GCUGGCUAUUGGCAGACUAAACUACUUACAAUAGCUAUAAGUAAUGCUCAACAUCUCUACUUCUUUAUCUUUGUUAUUGCCUGUUUGUUGUGUUAAAAUUAUGUUGCAUGUAUAUUUAAAUGUAUAUAUUUUCAAUAUUUGUUUUCUUUCGUUAAACUGUCUGUUUACGUGUACAUACAUAAUUCAGUAAUUAAAUUAUGUGAAU